rnacentral:rRNA from 1 species
AUUGAACGCUGGCGGCAGGCCUAACACAUGCAAGUCGAGCGGAUGAAGGGAGCUUGCUCCUGGAUUCAGCGGCGGACGGGUGAGUAAUGCCUAGGAAUCUGCCUGGUAGUGGGGGAUAACGUCCGGAAACGGGCGCUAAUACCGCAUACGUCCUGAGGGAGAAAGUGGGGGAUCUUCGGACCUCACGCUACCAGAUGAGCCUAGGUCGGAUUAGCUAGUUGGUGGGGUAAAGGCCUACCAAGGCGACGAUCCGUAACUGGUCUGAGAGGAUGAUCAGUCACACUGGAACUGAGACACGGUCCAGACUCCUACGGGGGGCAGCAGUGGGGAAUAUUGGACAAUGGGCGAAAGCCUGAUCCAGCCAUGCCGCGUGUGUGAAGAAGGUCUUCGGAUUGUAAAGCACUUUAAGUUGGGAGGAAGGGCAGUAAGUUAAUACCUUGCUGUUUUGACGUUACCAACAGAAUAAGCACCGGCUAACUUCGUG